UCAACGGCACCACGAGGGUUAGACUGUCUCCUUUUUCAAAUCAGUGAAAUUAAUCUCCCCGUGAAGAAGCGGGGAUACUCAUAUAAGACGAGAAGACCCCAUGGAGCUUCAAACCCAACUACACCCCUAGCUCUUAUAGCCCCACAACCCCCCUAGGCGCCGUGUGCUUGGUUUUAGGUUGGGGCGACCGCGGAGUACAAUAAAACCUCCACAAUGAAUGGGAACACCCCCUUAUCUGAGGGCCACACCCCCUAAGAAUUAGAACACUAACAUAAAAUGAUCCAUUACUUGAUCAAUGAACCAAGUUACCCUGGGGAUAACAGCGCAAUCCAUUUCAAGAGCCCCUAUCGACAAAUGGGUUUACGACCUCGAUGUUGGAUCAGGGUACCCCAGUGGUGCAGCAGCUACUAACGGUUCGUUUGUUCAACGAUUAAAACCCU
rnacentral:rRNA from 1 species